rnacentral:lncRNA from 1 species
GAGAACCUGGGUGUUGUAACAAGUCUCCUCCAGCAGGUUACAUCACCAGGGCCCAACAGGCUGGAAUUGCCUCCCUGCCAAGGCAAAGCUAGUUCUGUGUUUGUUAUUCCCACCACCAUGAAGGAAACCUCCAGAAAAUCCUUUGCAUUAUUCAAAACUGAAAUUUUACCUCAACAAAAAUAUGAAUGAGAGAUAGGGACCUGUACAGUCAAAUGACCAUUUGGUACUGAUCACCCAUUAAAUGUCACAAAAAAGUAAAGUGGAGUCAGAAGAAGAACCAAACGCUGAUUCGAACAUCUGGUAGAUGGAUCAUAAUUACAGCAGAGUUGCUGGGCAGAUAAGGCUGAAGACACGUAGAAGAAAACAACUAUUGGGUGAAUUUUGUGAGCAUUGAAAUGACACAGCACAGGGGAGCUAUAAAGGGGAGUUAUGACUUUGUUCCUGUUUUUAAAUCCACACUUUGCUGGUUCAAGAAUUGCUUUAAGAUCAUACUUUUGAUCUUCCGUGCACUCCUGAAGUAGGAAAAACACUGACUAGAAGGUCAAAGUCAUAAUACUACUGUAUGGUUGAUUUGAGGGGACUUCCUAGCUGUCCACCCAGUGCAUGAAUUCUUCUCUGCAACAUCCAUAUGUAAUGGCUAUCUGUGUUUUCUUUUGACUUCCUUCAGUGAUGUGAAACUUACCCUGAAUGAGACCUUCUUCUCCUAGGAAUACAAAAAGUUAAUAAUAAUAAUAAUAAUAGUUAUUAUCAAUUUAGCAUUUAUUAAAUACCAGACAUUGGAAUACAACCUUUACCUGCAUGUCGUUUAAAUUCAUUCUAAGUAUUAUCAACCCAUUUUAGAGAUGAAGUAAUCAAGACAGCAUUAAGAAACUUCCACAAGAACAGAGAACUACUUGGUUCUGUAUGAUUCUAGAGGCUGCGCUCCUAAUCUGUGUAGAAUACCACUUCCUUCAAGUAUAUACACAUUUUUAGUCUUGCAGAAUAAGCUGAUUCCACACAGGUGUCAUCUUCACUUUCUCACCUCCUGUUCCACUCCUUCUCUUCCAGGAGGCAUUUUUAGCCCAGUUUAACAUUUCUAGUUGUCAGGGCUAUUUCUCAUAUGACUUAACUUCUAUUGCCUCCUCUCUUUCCCCUGAGUAUUCUCUUAAAAUCUCGCACUCAGAACAAAAUGUAAUAAUUUUGAAGAGGUCUGGCCACUUUUCCUGGAAGCUAUACUUCUAUUUACAUGGACUGAGAUGAAAUGACCUUUGGUCUUAGGUCAUAUUUUGGAAGUGCUAAGUUGUAU